rnacentral:misc_RNA from 1 species
CGCUUACAAAUAGAGAGAGUGCUCUGUAAUCCCACUCUUCAUUCUUCUCUAACACCGUUUUCUUGAUACUAAUCUCUAAAUUUCUCUUCUUUUAAACCACCAUGAAAAAGCUUAGAGGUUUCAGGCUUGGGCGCAGGCUUGUCAGAGUCUUCAAAUGGAUAAUCCGAUCCAGGAGAAAACCUACCGCCCGUUCCUCCUUCUUGGACCAACCAACUCGCUCCCUCAAUCCUUUCUCCAAAAUCUUGGCCUUAGCUCGUAACUUAAGAGAUAGAGCUUCUCCUUCUGCAAACUCAAAUCGGGGGUAUAUCCGGCUGGGUCAGGCGAAACCGACGGAGGUGCCCAAGGGACACUUGGCGGUCUACGUGGGAGAAUCAAAUGGUGACACGAGGAGGGAGGUGGUGCCUGUGAUAUACUUCAAU